CAGCCCAAGCCCAUAAAUCAUGACCCAAACUCAAAUUAUUAUUAUUAUUAUUAUUAUCUCAAACCCUACAUUUUCUCUUCCUCUUCCAUUCAUUCAACAGCCGUUCAAUUCCUUCCUCUUUGUUUUUUUUUUCUUUUGAUUUUUUUCAACAUCUUCCUUCAUUAUGAUAAGAUUCCCUUCAUCAACAUCUCUUCUUCUUCUUCUCACAGUCAAUAUGUUCUAUUUCUUCACCCUUGCACAGAUUUGUUUUUUAAAUCUUAAUUGCCACUUUCUCACCUAGAUCUUGACCUCUAUAGACAAUUUUUUGAAAUACCAUCGCCAUAUAAAGAAUCUCCUUCACCUCCUUUACAAAAUCCACAAAGAAAAUUUAGGAUCGGAACACCUUCGUCGGUGGCCACCGUGCUGGUAAACAUUAUCACCGUGCCCAAAAAACACGUUUGGUGUUGUUGUCUUCUCUUCCAUCCUACCGAAAACAUUAUGGGACUUCAUCUUCUCCACUUUUCUUUUACAUCCAAGAACCGCAAGAUCAAAGACAACAAAAGGGGAAAAAAUCACACCUGGUUUGAUUUUUUUGUUUUAUCUUUGUAAAUUGUUUUUCUGUCCUCUGUUUGUAGAAGUCAUGCCAAUCUUUUGAAUAUAUUUUCCAUGAUUUCACUACUGUAAUUAUAUAAUUUUUUUUUAUUAUUUAUUUGUUUGGAUCUGUGAAAUUUAUAGGAAAAAUAAUGUAUUUAUUUUUUAGUUACCUUCAAAUGUUUCUGUUAUUU
rnacentral:lncRNA from 1 species